rnacentral:rRNA from 1 species
UACGGGGGGGGCAAGCGUUGUUCGGAAUUACUGGGCGUAAAGGGUUCGUAGGUGGCCAACUAAGUCAGACGUGAAAUCCCUCAGCUUAACUGGGGAACUGCGUCUGAGACUGGAUGGCUUGAGUGCAGGAGAGGAACGCGGAAUUCCAGGUGUAGCGGUGAAAUGCGUAGAUAUCUGGAGGAACACCGGUGGCGAAGGCGGCGUUCUGGACUGUUUCUGACACUGAGGAACGAAAGCCAGGGGAGCAAACGGG